AGUGAACGCUGGCGGUAGGCCUAACACAUGCAAGUCGAACGGCAGCACAGUAAGAGCUUGCUCUUACGGGUGGCGAGUGUCGGACGGGUGCGGAAUACUUCGGAAUCUACUUUUUCGUGGGGGAUAAUGUCGGGAAACUUACGCUAAUACCGCAUACGACCUACUGGUGAAAGCAGGCGAUCUUCGGACCUUGCGCGAUUGAAUGAGCCUAUGUCGGCUUAGCUCGUUGGCGGGGUAAAGGCCCACCACGGCGACGAUCCGUAGCUGGUCUGAGAGGAAGAUCAGCCACACUGUAAGAGAGACACAGUACAGACACUUGCAGGGAGCAGCAGUGGGGAAUAUUGGAGAAGGGAGGAAAGCCUGAUCCAGCCAUACCGCGUGAAGGAAGAAGGACUUCGGGUUGGAAAGCCCUUUUGUUGGGAAAGAAAAGAAGCAGGUUAAUACCCCACUAUACUGACGGUACCCAAAGAAUAAGCACCGGCUAACUUCGUG
rnacentral:rRNA from 1 species